UACGUAGGGCGCGAGCGUUGUCCGGAAUUAUUGGGCGUAAAGAGCUCGUAGGCGGCCGGUUGCGUCUGCUGUGAAAUCCCGGGGCUUAACCCCGGGCGUGCAGUGGAUACGGGCCGGCUGGAGGCAGGCAGGGGAGAAUGGAAUUCCCGGUGUAGCGGUGAAAUGCGCAGAUAUCGGGAGGAACACCGGUGGCGAAGGCGGUUCUCUGGGCCUUACCUGACGCUGAGGCGCGAAAGCUAGGGGAGCGAACAGG
rnacentral:rRNA from 1 species